rnacentral:tRNA from 1 species
GAGAGUAUAGUUCAGUGGUAGAGUGCAUGCUUAGUAUGCAGGAGGUCCUGGGUUCAGGCCCCAGUACCUCCA